UCUCCGUUGGUGAACCAGCGGAGGGAUCAUUAAAGAGUUAUCUAACUCCCAAAAACCAUGUGAACUUACCUAUGUUGCCUCGGCGGGGAACCUACGUGGUAGGCUACCCUGUAGCUGUAGGCUACCCUGUAGCUGUAGGCUACCCUGUAGCUGUAGGCCUACCCCGCCGGCGGACCACCCAAACUCUUAUUUAUUUUGGCACUUCUGAGUUAUUAUCAUAAUAAGUUAAAACUUUCAACAACGGAUCUCUUGGUUCUG
rnacentral:misc_RNA from 1 species